GUUUGCUAAAAUAUAAAGACCCUGAGCCAUGUAAGGCCAUGUUCCUUUGAAGGCCAACUAUCAAAAAGUCGCAGUUAUCGUCAUGUAAAGAUAUUUUCCUUCUACUACACACAGCCAUCAAACUUAUGGCCACAAACGCGGCGGCGAGUCGAUCGCUCCGCUAUUGUGGCAGUGAGAUCUCACUGUUUGUAGACUUUGGUUGU